rnacentral:piRNA from 1 species
GCCACAGAUGGAAAUCUAACUUCUGGUCC